AUUGAACGCUGGCGGCAUGCCUUACACAUGCAAGUCGAACGGCAGCGCGGGAGCAAUCCUGGCGGCGAGUGGCGAACGGGUGAGUAAUACAUCGGAACGUGCCCAAUCGUGGGGGAUAACGCAGCGAAAGCUGUGCUAAUACCGCAUACGAUCUACGGAUGAAAGCAGGGGAUCGCAAGACCUUGCGCGAAUGGAGCGGCCGAUGGCAGAUUAGGUAGUUGGUGAGGUAAAGGCUCAACAAGCCGUCGAUCUGUAGCUGGUCUGAGAGGACGACCAGCCACACUGGGACUGAGACACGGCCCAGACUCCUGCGGGAGGCAGCAGUGGGGAAUUGUGGACAAUGGGCGACAGCCUGAUCCAGCCAUGCCGCGUGCAGGAUGAAGGCCUUCGGGUUGUAAACUGCUUUUGUACGGAACGAAACGGUCUUUUCUAAUAAAGAAGGCUGAUGACGGUACCGUAAGAAUAAGCACCGGCUAACUAC
rnacentral:rRNA from 1 species